CAUCAGUGGUGCUCAUCCCGUCAAUCAGAGUGGGAAAUGGGCCCAAGACCGGCGGUGCAGAGGGCGACCUGGUUUGGCCGUUAGCACAUGUUUGGAGCAUAAGAAAGACAGGAGAGAUUGUGAGCUGUGCCUUCCCUCAACUCUGCUUGGCAGCGUCCCCUGUGCCAAUCACACUAAGAGUCCGCGAUGGAGAAGAGACACGAGCUCACACGCUGAUCCUGCAAAAGAGGAGGAGAGGUUGUCCAUUUCAGCAGUGGAGGUUUGGUGGAAAGGGCCACGUCUAUUGUGAGGCCCUCUCAGAGCUGGCGCUGACCUACCUGCAGGAGGGGAGCGGGUGUGCAGAGGUGACCCCCCAGCCCCAGGGGCCGUUGGAGAAGCCCCGGGGCAGAGAGGGUGCAGACGGCAGCGCUGACCCAGAGCCUAGUGAGGCAGCACCAACAGACAGCCCAUGGGGGAAGGCUGCCAGUCAGGGAGCCCAGCUGUCAGUGGCCCUUCUCAGGCAACACAAAGACAAACAGGCCCAGGCCCCGGCCCAGAGGUAGGCCACUGGCAUGGCUCACGGUUACUGUUCAGUGACAUUAGAGGAUUCCCCUCAGUCCAAUGUGAGAUUGAUCCCCCCCCCUUUUCUAAAUAACAUGUCACAUGGUAACAGC